rnacentral:rRNA from 1 species
UACGUAGGGGGCCAGCGUUGUCCGGAAUCAUUGGGCGUAAAGCGCGUGUAGGCGGCCCGGUAAGUCCGCUGUGAAAGUCGGGGGCUCAACCCUCGGAUGCCGGUGGAUACUGUCGGGCUCGAGUACGGAAGAGGCGAGUGGAAUUCCUGGUGUAGCGGUGAAAUGCGCAGAUAUCAGGAGGAACACCGAUUGCGAAGGCAGCUCGCUGGGACGUUACUGACGCUGAGACGCGAAAGCGUGGGGAGCAAACAGG